rnacentral:rRNA from 1 species
GGGCCCGCACAAGCAGCGGAGCAUGUGGUUUAAUUCGACGCAACGCGAAGAACCUUACCAGGGCUUGACAUCUGCGGAAGACCUAAGAGAUUAGGUUGUGCCCUUCGGGGAACCGCAAGACAGGUGGUGCAUGGUUGUCGUCAGCUCGUGUCGUGAGAUGUUGGGUUAAGUCCCGCAACGAGCGCAACCCUUGUAUAUAGUUAAAGAUCUAUAUAGACUGCCGUGGAGAACACGGAGGAAGGUGGGGAUGACGUCAAAUCAUCAUGCCCUUUAUGACCUGGGCUACACACGUGCUACAAUGGGGAGGACAAAGAGAAGCGAGAGAGGGAUCUUAAGCGAAUCUAAAAAACUCACCACAGUUCAGAUUGCAGGCUGCAACCCGCCUGCAUGAAGCCGGAGUUGCUAGUAAUCGCGGAUCAGCAUGCCGCGGUGAAUGCGUUCCCGGGCCUU